UGGGGAAUAUUGCACAAUGGGCGCAAGCCUGAUGCAGCAACGCCGCGUGAGGGAUGACGGCCUUCGGGUUGUAAACCUCUUUUAGCAGGGAAGAAGCGAAAGUGACGGUACCUGCAGAAAAAGCACCGGCUAACUACGUGCCAGCAGCCGCGGUAAUACGUAGGGUGCAAGCGUUGUCCGGAAUUAUUGGGCGUAAAGAGCUCGUAGGCGGUCUGUCGCGUCUGCUGUGAAAUCCCGAGGCUCAACCUCGGGCCUGCAGUGGGUACGGGCAGACUAGAGUGCGGUAGGGGAGAAUGGAACUCCUGGUGUAGCGGUGGAAUGCGUAGAUAUCAGGAAGAACACCGAUGGCGAAGGCAGUUCUCUGGGCCGUAACUGACGCUGAGGAGCGAAAGCGUGGGGAGCGAACAGGAUUAGAUACCCUGGUAGUCCACGCCGUAAACGUUGGGCGCUAGAUGUGGGGACCAUUCCACGGUUUCCGUGUCGCAGCUAACGCAUUAAGCGCCCCGCCUGGGGAGUACGGCCGCAAGGCU
rnacentral:rRNA from 1 species